rnacentral:lncRNA from 1 species
GGCAUCGGUCGGUUCGGUUCUGUAGAAUUUCUGUUCGAUUUUCGGUUUGUGAUAUUAAUAACCAAAACCGAACCGUAAUAACUUCGGUUCGGUUUAUUCAUGUUCGGUUCGGUUAAUUGAAGUGCUUCUACUGUCUUCAAGAAAAUUCCUACAUCUCUAUGUUCUUCAAAUUCAUAUAAUUCCCUUUAUGAUAAUCCCUUGACUGAGCUAAGACAAUACAGAAGCAGCGGCAGUGGCAUCACUAUAGGAGAAGCAUU